GGCGAACGCUGGCGGCAGGCUUAACACAUGCAAGUCGAGCGGGCCCUUCGGGGUCAGCGGCAGACGGGUGAGUAACACGUGGGAACGUACCCUUUGGUUCGGAAUAACGCUGGGAAACUAGCGCUAAUACCGGAUACGCCCUUUUGGGGAAAGGCUUGCUGCCGAAGGAUCGGCCCGCGUCUGAUUAGCUAGUUGGUGGGGUAAUGGCCUACCAAGGCGACGAUCAGUAGCUGGUCUGAGAGGAUGAUCAGCCACACUGGGACUGAGACACGGCCCAGACUCCUACGGGAGGCAGCAGUGGGGAAUAUUGGACAAUGGGCGCAAGCCUGAUCCAGCCAUGCCGCGUGAGUGAUGAAGGCCUUAGGGUUGUAAAGCUCUUUUGUCCGGGACGAUAAUGACGGUACCGGAAGAAUAAGCCCCGGCUAACUUCGUG
rnacentral:rRNA from 1 species